AUGCACAAAUAUAUUCAUUGGUUUAAUCAGGACAUUCAGUGAUAUGACAUUUGCUAUGUACACAAAAUGACUAAACAUAAUAAGAAAGCCUGUGUUCUAGUCAGAGACCUAUCCAGCCCUCAGCGCAAUUGGGUUAGAGAAACACCCGUCCAGUAGAGUGGCAAACAUUUAAAACAAUGUCAGCAAGAACCUAACGCAUGGAAAGUCGUUUUUAUUUCACCCUCUCAAUUUAGUUCAUGGCCCAAGUGUUGGGAUACUGGGUCUCCUACUUGAGAAUCUCCUUACACAAGAUCUGAUGGAAAUCACACGGUCAAAGACAAAUUGUAAAUUACUUGAUUCUGAGACUUGCCAAUUGUGAAUUCUAACAUUUUGCCUAUAAUACACUUGUAUUGCUAUGUAAGUAACACAUUCUGCAACUAAACCAAGGUUGUUUUGAUCGUGAUAGACCAAAUGAGUUCCUUCUUAAAGACAAAGAACUGACUAAGCUUCUUUAAGUUAAAAAAAAAAAUUUGUUAUCUAUGCCCCAGUUGCUCUGUACAGAGAGCUGGAAGCUUACAACUGAGACAAAUCAUACCAAACUAGGCAUUUAAAAGGGCAGUAACCUCCUCUAGCUAUCAGAUGGUAGUUUCCCCUAUCAGAUAUAAUCAAUGCUAAUGCUAUGUAAAUUCAAUAUCACAAAGUCCAUUUGAAUGUAGAGACACUAGAGGACAGCUGAUUUUUUUUUUCACAGGUCAUUGAGUCUAGAAGUUAAUGGAAACAAACUCAAGAUAUUUUAAAAUGGAAUUGACAGACGGGUCAACCUGACCUGAAGAUGUGCAUAUUACACUACUAAAGACUAACCACCCAGGGCAUGCAUGAAAGAGUCAUUGUUUCAUUGAUAGUGCAGCUUGUACAAAAGGACUGAAUUUUAAUGGCCGCCUUCUAAAUGACAUGAUUGUAAGAGAUAGCAUGAAGCAGCAUUCAGAGUAUCACAAAUCAGAACUAUAAAUAGAUCAACCUUUCAACUUUUUGACCUGCUCAGGAUCAAAUAAAAAAAAAAAAAAAAAAAAAAA